ACGUGGCUCAGUUGGUAGGGCAUUGUGCUAACAAAACAAAGGUCAUGGGUUCAAAUCCCUUUCAAAUGUA